GACUCCGACCCCUUUCUGCAGUUUCUUUUGCCCUGUUAAAUCUUAUCUCAUUCCUUUGGGCUUCAGGGGUAUCCGAGUGGGGUCGCGGCCUCCGCACCCGUCACUGAGAGCCGACUUCGGUGCUCGGCAUUGGCGCGGUUUGUCAAGAUGGUGAAGCUGUUCAUCGGAAACCUGCCCCGGGAGGCCACGGAGCAGGAGAUCCGUUCACUCUUUGAGCAGUAUGGGAAGGUGCUGGAAUGUGAUAUCAUUAAGAACUACGGCUUUGUGCAUAUAGAGGACAAGACGGCGGCCGAGGAUGCCAUCCGCAACCUGCACCAUUACAAGCUGCACGGGGUGAACAUCAACGUGGAAGCCAGCAAGAAUAAGAGCAAAACCUCCACCAAGUUGCAUGUGGGCAACAUCAGCCCCACCUGUACCAACAAAGAGCUUCGGGCCAAGUUUGAGGAGUAUGGUCCAGUCAUCGAAUGUGACAUCGUGAAAGAUUAUGCCUUCGUACACAUGGAGCGGGCAGAGGAUGCGGUAGAGGCCAUCAGGGGCCUUGACAACACAGAGUUUCAAGGUGAACCACCCUCUAUGAGAAGAGGGCUGAACACAAGGCUAUAUGCAGAAAAUAGGUUGGAAAAGUAAAGAGAGAGGGGUUUGGAGUAGAGAUACAGCUGGUGGCUGGCUGAUGGUGAAGAACACAGUGCAGGCAUACCUCGGAGAUAUUGCAGGUUCGGUUCCUGAGCAUUGCAAUAAAGCAAGUAUUGCAGUAAAGCAAGUUAAAAGCGAGGCGUAACCUCUUGGUGGUAGAGGGUCUUGCCUUCAGUUUGAAAAAAAAAAACAAACGCAACAUCUGUGAAGCGCAAUAAAACAAGGUAUGCCUGUAUCAGCAUUUUACAUACGAAGAACCUGGCAAAAGUUGCUUAAGCAACACAUUUAGCAGUAGAAUCCUUGUUAAGCUGCCCCACCUCAUCCCAACUCAUACAUAACUUUUCAGUAAAAAUAGUCUUUAGAUAACUGGUGUUUUUAAGAGGUUCAGUUUUGAGGAUGAGGCCACUCUAGAAUUAAACUGAUUUCAGGAGUUUCUAAGGAGGAGGUAUUGAGAUUUUGGCAAUGCCUCUUCACUGGUUUGGGGGGUGGACUCUAUAACAUCCCUCCGUGAGCACUUAGAUGGGUGUUACCUUGAAGCCUUGACUAGAUGAAUUGUUUUAGUGUGCCUGGAAGGCAGCGUGUGUGAUGUUGUGGAUUGUCCCUUUAUUUGGAAGGUAUUUUCUUGAUUUAAGCUCUAAGUUCCUUUGGUAAGAGUGGCAGUCGGGAAGGGGUUGGUAACGAUGAGUUAACUCUCCUUUUUACUGCCUUUGGGUCCCCAGUGUCCAAAAAGAGCCUUUUCCUUUUGAUUGUAACUACUUCCAAGUCCUUGCUGCAUUUUUAACCUACAUUCCAAUCUUUUUAGUCCAAAUCAAGGUACUGGCUGCUGCUUUCCCUGAGCAGUCAUAUUGUUAAGAGGCAUUGCUGCUGUCUUUGCUGUUUAUUUCCCUUAAAUUGGACCUUUCUUAGAGCUGGAGGUCUGAUCAUCAUUCCCCCAAGUAACGGGUGUCCUGUCAUGGGUAUUGCUGUGGAUUGCAAAGAAGUAUCACAUGUCUCUUGGGUCUGGUUUUCCCUUUUUUAAUUGGUAAGUUGAGAAUUAUUUUGUGUCAACAACUUAAUUGGGAGCAAAAGUUGCUCUUGAAGAGGAUUUGUGGUCUGAUACCUAAUUUUUGGACUCUUCUGUUCUUAAACACAGUCAGAAGAGGUGGUGCUGUGUGCUUGCUUACAUGUGUAAGGGAGGAGCAGUGUGGACUGAUUUCAGGGCAAAUUAUCCUUGUAGCACUCUAGGCUCUCUGAUGCUACCUAUACUUAGUUAUUUUUGCCCCAUUUUCCUUACUAUUAUCCCCAUUCUCCUUAAUACUGCCUGGUAGAGUAUGUCUAAAGGAGCAGUAUUUAUUACAAUGGUCUUUUUCCUUUUCCUUUUCUCAGUAUUGGGUAUACAGUUGAUCCUUGAACAACGCUGGGGUUGAGGGCACUGUCCCACCCCGCCCCAAUCAAAAAUCUGAGUAUAACUUAAGCUGGCCCUCGCACAAGCAGAUUCCCAUCUUCAAGUUGAAAAUAUAGUUGACCCUUGAACAACACAAGUUUGAAUUUCGCAUAAGUAGGCCUGUGCAGUUCAAACCCGAGUUGUUCAAGGGUCAACUGUAUUUAUUUUUUU